CAACACUUGCUCUCUGUUGUGCUGGGUGCCUGAAAACCUUCUACGUUGGGCUCUGUUUGAUCUGGUCUCUCUCUUAAAGUCUUCAGGACUCUGGGAGUAACCUUAUAGUGGAAGACCAGGAAUGUGUAAUCGAGGGAGUCAAACCAAAAACUGCAAUGUGACCCAGAAGGAAAUGAUGAUAAAGUGAUACGUUUUAGAAAGAAACAUCAAAACAAGAACUGAG